GUGAGGAAUUUUGCGCAAUGGGGGAAACCCUGACGCAGCAACGCCGCGUGAGUGAAGAAGGCCCUCGGGUCGUAAAGCUCUGUCAAGUGGGAAAAAAGCUUGUCAUUGAAUAGGUGAUGAGUCUGAUGGUACCACUAAAGGAAGCACCGGCUAACUCCGUGCCAGCAGCCGCGGUAAUACGGAGGGUGCAAGCGUUGUUCGGAAUUAUUGGGCGUAAAGAGCGUGUAGGCGGUUAGGUAAGUCAGAUGUGAAAGCCCUGGGCUCAACCCAGGAAGUGCAUUUGAAACUGCCGUUCUUGAGUAUGGGAGGGGAGAGUGGAAUUCCCAGUGUAGAGGUGAAAUUCGUAGAUAUUGGGAGGAACACCCGUGGCGAAGGCGACUCUCUGGACCAAUACUGACGCUGAGACGCGAAAGCGUGGGGAGCAAACAGGAUUAGAUACCCGUGUAGUCC
rnacentral:rRNA from 1 species